AACGUAGGAGACAAACGUUAUCCGGAGUUACUGGGCGUAAAGGGCGUGUAGGUGGUUGUGUAAGUCUGGCGUGAAAUUUUUCGGCUUAACCGGGAAAGGUCGUCGGAUACUGCAGAACUAGAGGACGGUAGAGGCGUGUGGAAUUCCGGGUGUAGUGGUGAAAUGCGCAGAUAUCGGGAGGAACACCAAUGGCGAAGGCAGCUCGCUGGGACGGUACUGACGCUGAGACGCGAAAGCGUGGGGAGCAAGCAGG
rnacentral:rRNA from 1 species